rnacentral:snoRNA from 1 species
ACCCUCUCGGGGUCACCCCUGGAGAGUUUCCAGUUCUCUACCAGUCUCGACUAUUGGAGGGAGAGUCAAACAGAGGCAUAACCAUUCCAUUCCUAGCUGGGCAGUGGCUAGGGAGUGGAAGGCAAUCUGCUACAAGU